rnacentral:rRNA from 1 species
AACGAACGCUGGCGGCAGGCUUAACACAUGCAAGUCGAACGCCCCGCAAGGGGAGUGGCAGACGGGUGAGUAACGCGUGGGAAUCUACCGUACCCUACGGAACAACAGUUGGAAACGACUGCUAAUACCGUAUACGCCCUUAGGGGGAAAGAUUUAUCGGGGUAUGAUGAGCCCGCGUUGGAUUAGCUAGUUGGUGGGGUAAAGGCCUACCAAGGCGACGAUCCAUAGCUGGUCUGAGAGGAUGAUCAGCCACAUUGGGACUGAGACACGGCCCAAACUCCUACGGGAGGCAGCAGUGGGGAAUAUUGGACAAUGGGCGCAAGCCUGAUCCAGUCAUGCCACGUGAGUGAUGAAGGUCUUAGGAUUGUAAAGUUCUUUCACCGAUGAAGAUAAUGACGGCAGUCGGAGAAGAAGCCCCGGCUAACUUCGUGCCAGCCGCCGCCGUAA